rnacentral:rRNA from 1 species
GACGAACGCUGGCGGCGUGCUUAACACAUGCAAGUCGAACGGAAAGGCCCCUUUGGGGGUACUCGAGUGGCGAACGGGUGAGUAACACGUGAGUAACCUGCCCUUGACUUCGGGGUAACUUCAGGAAACUGGGGCUAAUACCGGAUAGGAAUCCUUGCUGCAUGGUGGGGGUUGGAAAGCUUCGGCGGUUUUGGAUGGACUCGCGGCUUAUCAGCUUGUUGGUGGGGUAGUGGCUUACCAAGGCUUUGACGGGUAGCCGGCCUGAGAGGGCGACCGGCCACAUUGGGACUGAGAUACGGCCCAGACUCCUACGGGAGGCAGCAGUGGGGAAUAUUGCACAAUGGGCGGAAGCCGGAUGCAGCAACGCCGCGUGCGGGAGGACGGCCUUCGGGUUGGAAACCGCUUUCAGCAGGGGCGAAGCUUGUGGUGACGGUACCUGCAGAAGAAGCACCGGCUAACUACGUG